rnacentral:rRNA from 1 species
UACGAAGGGUGCAAGCGUUACUCGGAAUUACUGGGCGUAAAGCGUGCGUAGGUGGUGAGUUAAGUCUGUCGUGAAAGCCCCGGGCUCAACCUGGGAAUGACGAUGGAUACUGGCUCGCUAGAGUGCGGUAGAGGAGAGUGGAAUUCCCGGUGUAGCAGUGAAAUGCGUAGAGAUCGGGAGGAACAUCAGUUGCGAAGGCGGCUCUCUGGACCAGCACUGACACUGAGGCACGAAAGCGUGGGGAGCAAACAGG